AUUGAACGCUGGCGGCAUGCCUUACACAUGCAAGUCGAACGGUAACAGGUCUUCGGAUGCUGACGAGUGGCGAACGGGUGAGUAAUACAUCGGAACGUGCCUAGUAGUGGGGGAUAACUACUCGAAAGAGUGGCUAAUACCGCAUGAGAUCUACGGAUGAAAGCAGGGGAUCGCAAGACCUUGUGCUACUAGAGCGGCCGAUGGCAGAUUAGGUAGUUGGUGGGAUAAAAGCUUACCAAGCCGACGAUCUGUAGCUGGUCUGAGAGGACGAUCAGCCACACUGGGAAUGAGAAGCGGCCCAGGCUCCUACGGGAGGCAGCAGUGGGGAAUUUUGGACAAUGGGCGCAAGCCUGAUCCAGCAAUGCCGCGUGCAGGAUGAAGGCCUUCGGGUUGUAAACUGCUUUUGUACGGAACGAAAAGCCCCGGGUUAAUACCCUGGGGUCAUGACGGUACCGUAAGAAUAAGCACCGGCUAACUACGUGCCAGCCGCCGCCGUAA
rnacentral:rRNA from 1 species